UGCCGAGUUACACUUGCCAACAGACAUAUAAAAGUUUCACCCAUUUGCCCUGCAUGCUUGAAUGGACCGGAGGAUACAAAACAUGUCUUGUUUUGGUCUCAGAAGGCGAAAGAAGUUUGGGAAAAAUUAGGCCUACAAGAGGUGUUCCAUAAAGCCUGUGUUGUUGAUCACGCGGGAGAGGCGGUGCUAGAAUUCUUACUCCUUAUGAAAGAUCAAGAUUUAAAUAUUAAGGGCAUCCGGAACGCACGUGAGUUAAUAACUAUUACAGCUUGGUAUCUAUGGUGGGAUAGA
rnacentral:rRNA from 1 species